rnacentral:tRNA from 1 species
GGGCGUUUAGCUCAGCUGGUUCAGAGCAUCUGCCUUACAAGCAGAGGGUCGGCGGGUCGAAUCCGUCAACGCCCA